GUACACCUACGGGAGGCAGCAGUGGGGGAUAUUGCACAAUGGGGGGAAGCCUGAACCAGCCAAAUCGCGUGAGGGAAUAAGGCCCUACGGGUCGUAAACCUCUUUUGCCGGGGAGCAAGGGCGGGGACGUGUCCCGGCCCGGAGAGUACCCGGAGAAAAAGCAUCGGCUAACUCCGUGCCAGCAGCCGCGGUAAUACGGAGGAUGCGAGCGUUAUCCGGAUUUAUUGGGUUUAAAGGGUGCGUAGGCGGGCUUUUAA
rnacentral:rRNA from 1 species